rnacentral:lncRNA from 1 species
CAGUCCGUUUGCCCGCCAAUUCGCAGCCCCCAACAAACCCUGGCCACCGUCGACACUCACAAAUGCCAACUUUCUCACCGCGGAUUGCAUAGAGGAAGGAGAAAAUGCGAUUUUUGCGGUGGUGCGACAGUGCGUGGUGGCGAUGCAUGGAGACCGGCUGCCGAUGUGGCCGUCCAGGAGGCCAAGAUUCUCUUGGACGACGGCGAGCAGGCCGCGGGUCCACGAACGACGGACGCAGGAGCGCGUCUGGGUGCUCGAUCUGGAGUGCAUGGCGACGGCCUCAUCCCUGGUCGCCGCGCCGGGGGGAGGUGGCGACGGCCUCAUCCGUGGUCGCCGCGCCGGGGGGAGGUGGCGGUGGCACAGUAACUCGAGCUCCCCUUCCUCGACCCAGCCCCCGAGCCCGAUGUCUCGUCUCCCCUCAGGUUGUUCCCCUGCCCCACCUUCCCCUUGCUUCGCCGCCGUCAAUUUCUGCCACUGCCGCUGCCAAUUUCUGCAUAUGUACUCCACUAUGAUUCACUAAAUGUUACUGAAUCUACUGAAUUUGUUAUCUUUUAGUACUCCCUCCAUUCCACAAUGUAGUGCUUCCUCUAUCCCCGUGCUUCAACUUUGACCGUAAAUUUAACUACCAAGACCGAUUGCGGCGGAAGCAAAAGUUAUAUCAGUGAAUUCGUAUUCGAAAGAAGUUUUUAAUUAUGUAACUUUUUCUCCCGCCGCAGUCGGUCUCGUCCGUUAAAUUUAUGGUCAAAGUAAGACCUCGGAAAGCGCGGGCGCGCUAUAUUUUGGAAUGGAGGGAGUACUUAAUUUGUACUGAAUGUAGGCGUCGUCGUGUUCAUGUGUCAGUCUGAGUCGUGUGUCGUGUCUUUGAUUCAUGUGGUGUUUUUGAUCGCGAGCUCGAGUGUCUCUCUGUCCGGGGUUAAUUAGAGCUGGUUACGCGAGGAAGAAACAACAUGUUAUAUUUCAGUCGGUCGGUCGUCGGUGAUGCAACAAUCCCUUCUGUCAUGGAUUGGGAUGUCAUGUUGGAAUCCUAUGUUUGAACUAUUGAACUCAGUUUAAAUGGAAGAAGAAAAUGUAAGUCGUAACUGCGAAAUAUCCUCCUGUGUGUCCUGAUUGCUUUUGUUCCUUAACUUUGUUUUGUUCUGAAGCAUCUAUCGAUCUUUUUCUUCAAGCUAAGGUGGUACAGAUUUGAGAAUGUAAUGUACUGUGUCAAUAUCCAUGUCGUCCCACACUUUAUUUAGGUUUACAAAUACAAUUGGAUGUAGUGUGGUGGUAAUCACCAAUGUUCAUCCAUAUUUUGCAUUUAAAAACUCAGGUUCGAGUCUGGAUCAACUCAGUUGUGCUGUGUCAAUAUCCAACUCAGUUUUAGUGCUGGUUUGCAUUUAAAAAUUCCAUUAAGCUCCCACUCAAUUCAUUCAUCUUCUCCUGCCCUGCCAUCAUUCAUCUUCUCAAUUCCAGUCCUAGUCCAUUAGAAACUGAAAACAUCAAGUUCCGGAGAGUUCAAUCGGUUAAGUUUGCAUCCUGAUGAUUUUUAGUACUAAUCUAGACGUAGAAACUCUGCUGCAUUUGACAGGACCAGCACCCUGCAAAGAAUCAACAGAUCAUGGAGUAGUUAGCAUAUUGAUUCAAAUCCAUAGUUUGUAUGUUCAGUUCAGUGAAAACUUUAGACUUGCUUGCACAACUGAUCAUCACAAUUCAAAAUAUGGCUGUGGAGGAUUUUAGGAAGUGUCAUUUGUAAUCAGUGUGCUACCUUUUGAGUUGCUGUUUACUGUGGGAAAAAGAAAAGAAUGCAGCUUAAUCCUGCUAUCAAACACUUUGCUCUAACCACUUCUACUCAUAACUGUUUGAAACAUUAUUCACUGUAGUCUCAGUUAACUGAAUUUUCUGAAGCCAUUUUCUUGCUCACAAGUUGACAGAAAAUUGUUUGAAACAAAUUUUGACACAAGUUGAUUGAAACACAUUUAGAAAUCAUAGUACUCCUAUGAUUUAGAUUCAGUAAACAUGACAGUAAAAUUGCUCUAAGAUUACUGACUAAAUAAAGGGCUUGCUGUAUUAAGCAAAUCAAUUGACUAAAUGCAUCUUUAACUGAAUUUACUAAGUUAAUCUUGGCUGUGUGAGCUGAAUUCACAAGGUGAGCAUGUGCUACAGCAGUGCACUAACAGUGAGCACAUUACCCCUCCCGGAUACAGUAUGAUUCUUGCAAAAUUUGGCGAUACAAACUGAGAAACAGGCCCCUUCCAUAAAAGAAAAGAAACGUUUCUUUUUUUGGUGCUCUGUUUCUCUUUCAGCAUGGCAAGCCGAUACCAUCUUCUUGGAUUGAUCUUCAGUAUAGCAAGUUCAUUGUAACUAGUGCAAGAUUCAAAUCAUUGUAACUAGUUCAAGUUCAUAAUCCAUGCUACCCGAUUGAACAUUUUUAGAACCUGAACAUUGAUGAUGAUCGUGAGAGUCCAUAAUCCAUGCCGUAAUUAUUCCAUUUGCCAAAUUUUUGUCCGAUUGAAUGUUUCUGAAAUUAACAUGGUUGAAUUGUUUCCAAAAUUAACAAAUUCUCAUUUCCUGAUUUAAUGUUUAUAUAAUUAACAUGAUUGAAUGUUUCCAAAAUUAACAAAAUCUUCUUGAUUGAAUGUUUCCAAAUCUAACAUUACCAAUUUUGCAGGACUACCUACCUAGCAGCAGCAGAGGCUGGGCGAGUUCGUUUGGUCGAGGUAGAAAUACCAGCUGCAGGUGGUCGAUGCAGCAGCAACAGUAGGCGUCAGUGGUGGGGCAGCAGCAGUAGUAGGCGUCGGCGGCGAGGAAGGAGCCGGCGGGGAAAGACUACCUCAGCAUCACAGCCGACGAGGAAGGAGCCGGCAGAGAAGGAGAGGCUGGGCCGAUCGGUGUCUCCCAGCAGCAGAGACGGGGCGCAGGGAAAGAUUGCGGCGGAAUCGCGGAGGUUCGCGGCGUUGCAGGUGCAGGUGGGCGGCGCCGUAGUGGCUGAUCACGCGGGUGGGCGGCGGAAUCACGCAGCUGGGCGCCGACAGGUGGUCGCGGCGGAUCGAGGACCAGUUCGCCUGGUGGUCACGGCGAUGGACAGCGGAAUCGGCGGGCAGCUGGUGGCGGGUGUGCGGCGGUGGGUGAUUGCGAGUGGGUUGCGAGCGCCAGAAUCUCCAGCGCGGCGGAGGAAUCCCACGGCGCCGGCCCCUGCCCCUGGCGACGCACGGGCGCCGGACGGAGGAAGGAGGAGUCGUGUACUUGUUUGCUACUAUUUUUAAAAUUGCGAGGUGUUUAUUGCAAAACAUCCACUAUACUGCGCCUGCGACAAUAAUUUUGGGACGGAGGGAGUAUAUGAUAAGCUUCACCUAUGAAUGUGUUCUUUCAUUU